GACGAACGCUGGCGGCGUGCUUAACACAUGCAAGUCGAACGGAAAGGCCCCUUUGGGGGUACUCGAGUGGCGAACGGGUGAGUAACACGUGAGAAACCUGCCCUUGACUUCGGGAUAACUUCAGGAAACUGGGGCUAAUACCGGAUAGGAAUCCUUGCUGCAUGGUGGGGGUUGGAAAGCUUCGGCGGUUUUGGAUGGACUCGCGGCUUAUCAGCUUGUUGGUGGGGUAGUGGCUUACCAAGGCUUUGACGGGUAGCCGGCCUGAGAGGGCGACCGGCCACAUUGGGACUGAGAUACGGCCCAGACUCCUACGGGAGGCAGCAGUGGGGAAUAUUGCACAAUGGGCGGAAGCCUGAUGCAGCAACGCCGCGUGCGGGAUGACGGCCUUCGGGUUGUAAACCGCUUUCAGCAGGGGCGAAGCUUGUGGUGACGGUACCUGCAGAAGAAGCACCGGCUAACUACGU
rnacentral:rRNA from 1 species